rnacentral:rRNA from 1 species
UACAGAGGUCCCGAGCGUUGUUCGGAUUCACUGGGCGUAAAGGGUGCGUAGGCGGCAUGGUAAGUUUGAUGUGAAAGCUCAGGGCUUAACCCUGAAAUGGCAUUGAAUACUACUGUGCUGGAGGUUUGGAGGGGGGACUGGAAUUCUUGGUGUAGCAGUGAAAUGCGUAGAUAUCAAGAGGAACACCAGUGGCGAAGGCGAGUCCCUGGACAACACCUGACACUGAGGCACGAAAGCGAGGGGAGCAAACAGG